GACUUAAUGAAGCACAGUGGACCAACACCAGCAGAUGACAUGGCUCCCCAAAUCAACACAGACUGUGGAAACUUCACACUGGACUUCAAGCAUCUUGCACUGUGUGCCUCUCCAUUCUUCCUCCAGACUCUGGGUCCUUGGUUUCCAAAUGAGAUGCAAAAGUUGCUCUCAUCAAAAAAGAGUACUUUGGACCACUGAGCAACAGACCAGGUCUGUUUUUCUUUAGCCCAGGUAAGACGUUUCUGACGUUGUUUGUUGUUCAGGAGCGGCUUGACAAGAGGAAUACGACAUCUGAAGCCCAUGUCCAGGAUCCGUCUGUGUGUGGUGGCUCUUGAUGCACUGACUCCAGCCUCAGUCCACUCCUUGUGAAAGUCCCCAACACUUUUGAAUGGCCUUUUCCUGACAAUCCUCUCCAGGC